GGCCUCCUUGUGCUUACCAUAGGCGGUGUUCUUACACUGACUGUAUAGAAAGAGGAGGCAGACAGAUGG
rnacentral:snoRNA from 1 species